GAGGGUAUAGCUCAAUGGUAGAGCAUAUGCUUAGCAUGCACGAGGUCCUGGGUUCAAUCCCCAGUCCCUCCU
rnacentral:tRNA from 1 species